rnacentral:tRNA from 1 species
AGUUUUAUAGUCAAAUAAAUGAUAUUAAAUUGCAAAUUUAAAGUUGAAAUUAAUUCUAAAACUU